GGAAGUAAAAGUCGUAACAAGGUCUCCGUUGGUGAACCAGCGGA
rnacentral:rRNA from 1 species